GGCCACCUUACAUUAAUUCAAUAUAAGCUAAAAUUCCUAAAACUAAGCACAUUACUUUGUAUAAACUCACAAUACAAAGAAAAAACAAGCUAACACACGGACAACUAGACAUGCUACCCUAGGUUUCGACGACUCUUUCUCAUACACUUUUAUCUUCUUCAACUUCUUCAUUGCCUUGCCAUCAACCUCUUCAAUGCAACUUUCUCUACCCAUUUGAGAUACCCACAAUUCACUUCCUUGUUUGCAAACAUAGGGCAUCUCUAGAACCUGCGAUUGUGGUUUCCAUUCGCGUUUGACAUAAACAAUAUGAUUUAUUGCAAUGAUUGAUUGUAGCCUCAACUUUACCAUAUGCAAGCUUCAGAGUUGUAAUGGAAACUUUGAACUUCGUGCUUCUUUAGCAAAAUAAAGAUUGAUUUAGCGGAGAGUAGAUUUGAGCUUUAAAACUUUUUCUAUUCCUUAGAAUUAAAGUUUU
rnacentral:lncRNA from 1 species